UUGGAAAUGUCUUUCAGCCUCCAGCAUCUCAAUGAGUAAGGUCGUGUAACUUUUGCCCUUUUUAUAAAGUGAAUCUCUUUUGUUUUUCUAUUUCCUUCCUAAGUUACUGCCUGAUUUUUCAGCAACUGGUAGUGGAAUCCUCUGGAAUGUAUAUGUUGGAAGAGCUUUCAGGUUAGAUUUUGAGAUCUAAAGAAGCCCUUACCAUCAAGAUUUUGCAUAAAUCCUAAGGGUAUAGAUGGAGAAUUAAGAGGCGAAUUUGACAAAAAAUUUGCAGGCUUGGAGUGAAUGGUUCCAAUAGAGCAAAACGAAAGCUUCCCAAAAUAUCAUACCCAAGGGUACAUAAUCUGGAAAUUUCCUCCACCAUCUUCAUGCGGUUUUCUAAGUCUUGCUUUUCCCUUUCGAAGAAACAGCGAGAAAGGGAAGUUCGAUAUUUCGUCCCGACUAUCUAUGCAAAUUUGUAGAAUACAGAUAUGGAGGGAGGAAAAAUGACCAUUCGUGAAAGGCAACUGCUGUGGGAAAAAUGUGUUUUGUUGAUCUCCUGCUCAGAAAAAGCAAUCCAUAUGUUGUGUGAUAGAAGAAGAAUGAACAACAACUAUUGAUCUGAUUGAUAUUUGGAUAGCUGGAACUUAGAAGCUAAUGGAAGCUUAUGGAGUUUUGUCAUGAAUGCUUGAUACUUUGUUUUAUCCUUUCCAAUAUCUUUACCAGAAGUCAUUAGUUACUUCAACAGCCACUUGCUAUAGUAGAGAUAUCAAACUUUGUGAUGAUUUUUUUUUUUGAAAUUUUGACCACUAAUACAUAGUUCCACUAUAAUUGGCUAAUUGAACGCGACAGAAGAUAAGAAAGACGAGAGGCAUUUCUAGAUAUAGCAAUCAAUAUUUCUGGAUGAAUGUAUCUUAUAUCUUAAAUUGUAACUUUUCACAGGUAAUGAGAUGCAUCGUAC